UACGUAGGGGGCUAGCGUUGUCCGGAAUCAUUGGGCGUAAAGAGCGCGUAGGCGGCUAGAUAAGUCCGGUGUGAAAGUCACAGGCUCAACCUGUGAAUGCCGCUGGAAACUGUCUGGCUAGAGUCCGGAAGGGGCGAGUGGAAUUCCUGGUGUAGCGGUGAAAUGCGCAGAUAUCAGGAGGAACACCAAUGGCGAAGGCAGCUCGCUGGGACGGUACUGACGCUGAGGCGCGAAAGCGUGGGGAGCGAACAGG
rnacentral:rRNA from 1 species